AGAGUUUGAUCCUGGCUCAGAAUGAACGUUGGCGGCGUGGAUUAGGCAUGCAAGUCGAGCGAGGAAGCUUGUAGCAAUACGAGUCAUUCGAGCGGCGUAAGGGGCAGUAAUACCUGGGAACGUACCCUGAGGUCGGGGAUAGCUGCUGGAAACGGCGAGUAAUACCCGAUGAUCUCGAGAGAGCAAAGGCUUGCCGCCUUCGGAGCGGCCCAGGCGAUAUUAGCUAGUUGGUGGGGUAAUGGCCUACCAAGGCAUAGAUGUCUAGCGGGUGUGAGAGCACGACCCGCGCCACUGGCACUGAGACACUGGCCAGACACCUACGGGUGGCUGCAGUCGAGAAUCUUCGGCAAUGGGGGCAACCCUGACCGAGCGACGCCGCGUGCGGGAUGAAGGCCUUCGGGUUGUAAACCGCUUUGGUCCGAGAGAAAGGGCAACUUGAUCGAUCGGAGAAACAAGGACGGGCUAAGUUCGUGCCAGCAGCCGCGGUAAG
rnacentral:rRNA from 1 species